rnacentral:lncRNA from 1 species
UUCCCUAGCUUCUAUGGGGAAGUUUAUAUCAUAUCUUAGAACUCAAAGGUUAAUCUCUAAAUGGUGUCUCUAUCAUUUAGUUUGCAUUAAAUAUUCUAACACAUAAGGUCUUUCUUCGCAUUCGAUUCUGAUGAUAAAUGAGUUUCCUGAGGUCUUUCAAGAUGAUCUUCUUAUUGUUUCUCUAGAUUGAGAGAUUGAGUGUGCAAUUGAUUUAGU